rnacentral:lncRNA from 1 species
CUGGGCUGGGUGGCUAAGGGACGAAGCGAGUGAGGGGGUUUGGGGAGCCGUGGGAGUCGCCGUGAUGAGGAUGUGGGCUUGUUGGGGGAGGUCUGGGAGCCAGCCUCUAGGUCCUCUCUUGCUUCGUCGGUUGAGGGUGACCAGGAUGUGGUACUGCUGAUUCAGCCUACCAAGAAUGGUCUGGGGAGCACAGAAAUAAAGUGAACAGAGUGACACGUUACUUCUCCUGGCUGACCUAAGCUGAAUAUACAGUCUGUAACCGUGGCAGUUUUGCACAGAGAAGUCAUGGGGAUGGCUGGGUCAGAGGACACAAAGUUCCUGUAAAGUCUAAAAGGAAAGUGAAAGACAGGUACAAAGUUAUUUUACGUGCUUCAGUAUUGGUGCCAUAAGAUUCAGCAGUCUACAGCCACGUCAGACAAAAGCAUCUUCACUUUCCAUAACUGGAAUAGACCACGCAGAUUACAUUCAUUUCAGCAGCCCUGCCAGCAGUGUAUAUGCCUACAAAGAUGAGCUUAAUCCUGUAUCCUGGAA